rnacentral:rRNA from 1 species
UGGGGGGGCUAUACAUGCAAGUCGAGCGAACAGAUGAGAAGCUUGCUUCUCUGAUGUUAGCGGCGGACGGGUGAGUAACACGUGGGUAACCUACCUAUAAGACUGGGAUAACUCCGGGAAACCGGGGCUAAUACCGGAUAAUAUUUUGAACCGCAUGGUUCAAUAGUGAAAGACGGUUUCGGCUGUCACUUAUAGAUGGACCCGCGCCGUAUUAGCUAGUUGGUAAGGUAACGGCUUACCAAGGCGACGAUACGUAGCCGACCUGAGAGGGUGAUCGGCCACACUGGAACUGAGACACGGUCCAGACUCCUACGGGAGGCAGCAGUAGGGAAUCUUCCGCAAUGGGCGAAAGCCUGACGGAGCAACGCCGCGUGAGUGAUGAAGGUCUUCGGAUCGUAAAACUCUGUUGUUAGGGAAGAACAAAUUUGUUAGUAACUGAACAAGUCUUGACGGUACCUAACCAGAAAGCCACGGCUAACUACGUGCCAGCAGCCGCGGUAAUACGUAGGUGGCAAGCGUUAUCCGGAAUUAUUGGGCGUAAAGCGCGCGUAGGCGGUUUCUUAAGUCUGAUGUGAAAGCCCACGGCUCAACCGUGGAGGGUCAUUGGAAACUGGGAAACUUGAGUGCAGAAGAGGAGAGUGGAAUUCCAUGUGUAGCGGUGAAAUGCGCAGAGAUAUGGAGGAACACCAGUGGCGAAGGCGGCUCUCUGGUCGGUAACUGACGCUGAUGUGCGAAAGCGUGGGGAUCAAACAGGAUUAGAUACCCCGGGUAGUCCACGCCGUAAACGAUGAGUGCUAAGUGUUAGGGGGGUUUCCGCCCCUUAGUGCUGCAGCUAACGCAUUAAGCACUCCGCCUGGGGGGAGUACGACCGCGGGGUUGAAACUCAAGGAAUUGACGGGGACCCGCACAAGCGGGUGCUAGGCGUGUGGGUUUAAUUCGAAACAACGCGAAAAACCUUACCAAGUCUUGGACGUGCGUGUGACGGGUCUAGAGGAUGAGAUCCGUCCGCCUUACGGGUGAACGAAGAUGGACCGGGCGCGUG